AACUAAAACAGGUCAUACAUGUAACAAUUAAAUACACAGACAUAUUUUUAAGUUUCAAACUGAGCCUGUGAAAUUACACAGCGAGACCCAGUAUUCCACCUUUCUUGGAAACCAGCUACUGUAAUUAGAGCAAAGUAAUUACUUGAGCUCAAACCUCCUUUUUUUCUUGCUGAUUACAUGACCUUCACGGUCACAUUAAGUUAGCCCAAACAAACCCAGUCUCUGGCUCCCUGUGUAAAAGGAACAAAUGAACUGCGGACUGCAAAGAGUUUUCAAAGUCAAACCACCACCUGAAUUUCGAUGCACCUUGGGCCCAGUCUGAAGUCAUAAUAAGCACUAGGAUUGCAUGAUAAUUGCUACAGCUAAUUAGCCUCUCGUGGCAACCAGCAGGAUUUCCAAACAGGGGAAAAAUCUAUGCAAUAUGUACAGGAUUCAGCUCACUGAAGACUUUAUUAUGAAACAUUGGUUGAAUGCUGGGAGUGCUUGUCAGACCAAGAGGAUCACGGCUGAGUCUCCUGCGGUCUUCCGCAGCCAUACUGAUAACUCUCCAGACUAGAAGAAAACUGAGCAAUCAUAUUCUGCUGAGACAUUUGGCUUACCACUGUAGUUCUGCUUCACUGAAGAACCCGGUGACGGAAGAUUGUGAACAUUGAAGGUCUUGCUCGCUCUGAAUCUAAAAGAAAAGAGCAAGACAUUCGUACUGUAGAUUCCAGAAAUCCACUCCUGCGUUGCUGUUUUAUUCACACCUUUGAACCACAGAGAUUCACAGGAUUGUAAGUACAGGACAAGUUGACCCAGAGUCAAUUUUAUUUAUUUAUUUAUUUUUUAAAUAGUUAAAAUAUUUAAGAAAAAAAAUAAAUCCUAAAGAUGAUUCUUCAUGUAAAUUCCUUCAUGACACAGCACAAGCAACAAAUGAUCAAAAGCAUCUUUUCUAUUUUACAAGUUAUUUUUAUAACCUACCCACAAUGAGCAGCACUACAUUUUCUUUGCUUAUUCAUUUUUAUUCCUGUGCCGUUGCACUGGGUACCCCUGUGCACAAUAACAUCUUAAUGGAUUCCUGGAAUAAUAAACCUCAAACAUGAUCACUGACUGAUUGUGAAAGUUGAGAAACGUUAGAAGAUGUUGUAUGACAGAUCCUUCAAGCUCUACAAGGAAAACCAUAAAUGUAUGAAGCCUUGCAUAUACAAGAUAUGUGACAUUUUAUGUUUAAUUAUGUAAUAGAUUUUUUAUUAUUAUUUUAUUUUAUGAUGACUAUGAUCUUCCUGGCACCAGAAUGGGUCACUGUUACAUAAACGGCUCAGACGCAAGGCUGCAGAUCAAAUUCUCCUAUGUUAUGUUUUUCCCAUGUUCUUCAACUCUAUAGACCACUAAGACCUCCACUCUGCUCUGGUUCCAGCCUGUGACUCUUUCAUUGCCUAUUUUUGGGAAGCUUUUGUCACUCUUGACAGAGAUUAUGCAGAUGAGGCAGCCACACGCAUCCUGGAAUGGUUUAAACGGGUCGGUGUAAACAAAGAGUGGAGACGGCUUACAUGCUGACAGGAUGUGCCUCUCCAUCGCCACUUUCCCUCAGGGCUGCCGAUGAAGGGGCUGCAUCUCCUCAAUUCAGAGCUUGUUUCACAGCCAACGCAGCGUUGUAAGCUUUUCUCCACACCCACACACCUUUUUCAGCAGAAGAAGGGAUGGUUUUUAUAAGCGAUUAUAUAUGUACUCACUACGUAGUGCUUUUUAAAACCUCCACAUGGCUACUGUAAAAUCACUCAAAGGGUUGAAUAGGCUGAAGGCCUCAGCUGGAUUCAUUUCAAGCUGGUUUUGUUUAAAGAUCAUUCACUUCCUUCUUCGGAGAAUUCUGAGAGCAGGACAGAUCACCAUUGCGCACAAUUGCUAUGUUACUCUGCCUGUUCCUCUGCCUCAGAUUUUUAUUAUUUUCGAGUGGUAAAGCCCUCUUUUGUGUAAAUAGGAUCUUGAAAUAUUUACCGGUGGGUGAAGGCAAUAUCUCAAAAAUCAAAGAAUUUCAAGGUUCCGUCGUUUUUUGGCAUGCAUGAGACCUCAAUGUUAAUAUUUUCAUGUGUGGUCAAGGUUUGGCCGGUUGGCAUGGUUCCAUUAGCUUCUGCUGGUAGAUAAUACUUCACCAUCUGGUUCUAAAAAGCACCUGCCUUCCAUCGAUGGCCAUUCAAAUGUAUUUGAGUAUGUAUUUGAAUGUAUUCCUUUUUGUUAACAUGGAGCAGUUUUUUUUUUAUUUUAUAUAUAUCAUUUUUACCAGCUUCUUUUUCUCGAGGGUUACACAGAGAAUAUCUUCUGUCUUUAAUGUCAAAGCCCAGGAUAGUUGCUUACUGUUGGGCUUGUGACUGUGUUCUUGUGGAGCUGUCAAUUUCUUUCUUUUAACUUUUAUCUUUUAAAAGCUGAUAAGCCUAUAUGUUGUCCAAUCUAUAUUUGAGUGUAUAGUUUGUUGCCUUUUGUUAUCUGAAUUUAGAUUUGUUUGUUUUUUUGUUUGUUUUUUUCUUUCUGGGACCGUAGAAGAGUAGAGAUGCUGUCCUAGACAUUUUCUUACAACAGGUGUGCAUCUGUAAUUUUCACAGCUCAGAAGAAUUGAGUCAGUUUUCUGAAACUCAUUAAUUCUUUCACUUCAAAGACUGGUGAUUUUGAAGAGGAUCAAACAUGAAGGAUAUGUAUGAAGAAGGGGCUUGCUUUUCUAGGUCAAAGAACCUUUACAGCUCAGGUCUGCCCUGAGCUUGGAGGAGGUUUGCAUUCAAUGUGAUGCACAGACAAGACAUUCUCUGGUAUCUAUACAGAAGUCAUUCAGCCCAGUGAUUAGACUACAGCUAAGUGUAGCCUAAGGCAAACUUAGUGCAAUAUUCAUCAUAGCUAGAGGUUGUCUUUUUAUUACCUCUUCCUUGUAGUUGUGUAAACUGACUAAAAUUGACAACUCUCGUUGGUAUUGUUUUUUUGUUCAAACAAUUGCUUUCUCAUUCUGACUGCUUAUGAGAAACACAGAUCUAAAUAGAAGACACGAUUUGAAUGCAUAGUAACUAUUUUAAUGUGCAAAGUCUCUCCACCGUUGAAAUAUAUUUGGAUGUAAAUUCUUCUGCCUUAAUUAUCCAUUAUGUGAACCUGAACGUGUUUAAACCUGCUACAUAAAUUUCAAGAAUAUAAAGUAGAAAAAUAAAUAAAUCA